CACCAAACAGCUAGCCACCAAACCAUGAGUAAUCCCCCCCCAUAAUUAACCUAAAAUAAACUAAACCAAGAAAUAAAUCAUUUUACCCUCUUAGUACGGGCGACCGAACGGAGACCAGCGAGCAAUAGAAUUAGUACCGCAAGGGAAAGCUGAAAGAGAAAUGAAAUAAAUCAUUUAAGCCUUAAAAAGCAGAGAUUAAAACUCGUACCUUUUGCAUCAUGAAUUAGCUAGCACACCCAAGCGAAGAGCCCUUUAGUUUGGUAUCCCGAAACUGGAGCGAGCUACUUCAAGACAGCCUAUUUUAGGGCAAACCCGUCUCUGUUGCAAAAGAGUGGGAAGAGCUUUGAGUAGAGGUGACAGACCUACCGAGCCCAGUAAUAGCUGGUUUCCUAAGAAGUGGAUAGAAGUUCAGCCCCUUAACUUACCACACCAACCCUAUCUUAGUUCUAUUCGGGCUACAGUAAAUUAAGGGAGUUAAUCAAAGGAGGUACAGCUCCUUUGAAAUAAGACACAACUUUAACAGGAGGCUAAGGAUCAUAUAUAUAAAGGUACGUACCUCAGUGGGCCUAAAAGCAGCCACCUUAAAAGAUAGCGUUAAAGCUCAAGCACAUGCCCGACCUAAUAUACUGAUUAUUUAUCCCACCCCCCUAACCCCACUAGGACCUCCUAUGCAACCAUAGGAGAGACUAUGCUAAUAUGAGUAAUAAGAAGGAAAAUUAAACCUUCUCCUAGCACACGCGUACAUCAGAACGGACCCCCCACCGACCAUUAAUCGGCCCCAAUUAGUAGAGGGUAGUGAACACUAAACAAAACACUAGAAGAACGUUCAACACUUUGGCCGUUACCCCCACACCGGAGUGCUUACAAGGAAAGACUAAAAGGAAAAGAAGGAACUCGGCAAACGCAAGCCCCGCCUGUUUACCAAAAACAUCGCCUCUUGUAAAAUAAAAAUAAGAGGUCCCACCUGCCCUGUGACAUAUGUUUAACGUGUGACAUAUGUUUAACGGCCGCGGUAUUUUGACCGUGCAAAGGUAGCGCAAUCACUUGUCUUUUAAAUGAAGACCUGUAUGAAUGGUAUAACGAAGGCUUAGCUGUCUCCUUUUCCCAGUCAAUGAAAUUGAUCUCCCCGUGCAGAAGCGGGGAUAAAAACAUAAGACGAGAAGACCCUAUGGAGCUUAAGACAAAAUAGUAGUCCAUAUAAAGUAACUUCAAAUAAAAAGUUAUAUUUUUUGCCCCCUGCUUGAAUGUCUUUGGUUGGGGCGACCGCGGGGAAAUAAAUAACCCCCAUGUGGAUUGAGAGAACCUCUCCCAAAACCAAGAGUCACCACUCUAAGUAACAGAACCUCUGACCAAAAUGAUCCGGAAAUACCGAUCAACGAACCGAGUUACCCUAGGGAUAACAGCGCAAUCCCCUUCCAGAGCCCAUAUCGACAAGGGGGUUUACGACCUCGAUGUUGGAUCAGGACAUCCUAAUGGUGCAGCCGCUAUUAAGGGUUCGUUUGUUCAACGAUUAAAGUCCUACGUGAUCUGAGUUCAGACCGGAGUAAUCCAGGUCAGUUUCUAUCUAUGGUAUGAUCUUUCCUAGUACGAAAGGACCGGAAAGAGGGGGCCCCUGCUUUAAGUAAGCCUCACCCCUACCUAGUGAAAACAACUUAAAUAGGCCAGAGGGCAUACCCUCUGGCCUAAAAGAACGGCGU
rnacentral:rRNA from 2 species